CAGAGAUGCCCUUCCGGGUGGGUGGUUUGGAACUGUCGCAAGUACCAAUCUCCCAGCACGGCAGGGCAUCUCGUCGUUACGGCACGCUCAAAGGCCCGAGCUCAUCGGUGGAUCGAG
rnacentral:sRNA from 1 species